rnacentral:rRNA from 1 species
GAUGAACGCUGGCGGCGUGCCUAAUACAUGCAAGUCGAGCGAACGGACGAGAAGCUUGCUGCUCUGAUGUUAGCGGCGGACGGGUGAGUAACACGUGGAUAACCUACCUAUAUGACUGGGAUAACUUCGGGAAACCGUAGCUAAUACCGGAUAAUAUUUUGAACCGCAUGGUUCAAGAGUGAAAUUCGGUCUUGCUUUCACUUAUAGAUGGUUCCGCGCUGCAUUAGCUAGUUGGUAAGGUAACGGCUUACCAAGGCAAGGAUGCAUAGCCGACCUGAGAGGGUGGUCGGCCACACGGGAGGUGAGACGGGGACCCGACGCCUGCGGGAGGCAGCAGUAGGGAAUCGUACGCAACGGGGGAGAGCCUGACGGAGCAACGGCGCGUGAGUGAUGAAGGUGUUCGGAUCGGGAAACUCUGUUGCUAGGGGAGAACAUAUGUGUAAGUAACUGUGCAGAUAUUGACGGUACCUGAACAGAAAGCACCGGCUAACUACGUG